AUGGCCAAACCUAGAAGGCUCACUCUAAUAAAUUCUGUGCUUACAUCCAUGGCCACCUAUUUCUUAACCAGUUUUGCAGUUGACAAAUGGGCAAUAAAGAAAAUGGAAAAGAUUCAGCGAAACUUCCUUUGGAAUGGUGAUGAGGAGUGCAACGGGGCCAAGUGCCUUGUCAACUGGAAGAGGGUCUGCUCCCCAAAGGAUCUUGGUGGCCUUGGAAUCAAAGACAUUGCCUGCUUCAGUAGGGCAUUGCGGCUGCGUUGGGCUUGGGUAGAGUGGAGCCCCAAUUCAAGGCCUUGGCAGGGCACCCCCAUCCCAUGCGAUCGCGCGGACAUGCUGCUUUUCUCAGCUUGCACGGAGAUUUAGUUGGGGAACGGGCAACGGGCAAGUUUCUGGAAUGAUCGAUGGCUGUUGGGAAUGGCUCCUGUGGAUGUGGCCCUCGGUUUGUUCGGUUUGGCACGGCGGAAAAGGCUCUCUGUGAAGGAAGCUCUUGCUGGUAAUCGCUGGAUGAAGGGCCUGGAAAGAAUUGCUUCCGAGGAGCUGCUGGAUCAACUUGUCAAGUUAUGGGAGCUGCUGCAACCCAUUGUCCUUUCUGAUGUUCCUGAUACCAUCUGGUGGAAGUUCACUAAUGACGGAGGCUACUCCGCUGCGUCUGCUUACAAUGCUCAGUUUAUUGGUCGCAUCACUGAGCCAUAG
rnacentral:rRNA from 1 species